CUCUGUGUACCUCUGGGACCUGUCUGCUGUGGUAGCCUCACUUCCUGGCCAUGGAAGAGCAUAUUCUUGCUUACUGGCAAAGCAGUCGCCAUUUAGCUGGUAUCAGAGUUAAGAAGCCAUGGGAUGC